GACGAACCGUGCGAACGUUGUUCGGAUUCACUGGGCUUAAAGGGCGCGUAGGCGGCCUGUUAAGUCGAACGUGAAAUCCCCGGGCUCAACCCGGGAACUGCGUCCGAUACUGGCAGGCUUGAAUCCGGGAGAGGGAUGCGGAAUUCCAGGUGUAGCGGUGAAAUGCGUAGAUAUCUGGAGGAACACCUGCGGCGAAGGCGACUUUCUGGCCUGUUCUUGACGCUGAGGCGCGAAAGCUAGGGGAGCAAACGGG
rnacentral:rRNA from 1 species